rnacentral:rRNA from 1 species
CCUACGGGGGGCUGCAGUGAGGAAUAUUGGUCAAUGGCCGGAAGGCUGAACCAGCCAAGCCGCGUGAAGGACGAAGGUGCCAAGCAUUGUAAACUUCUUUUGUCAAGGGACAAAAUCAGGCUCGAGAGCCUGACCGAGGGUACUUGAAGAAAAAGCAUCGGCUAACUCCGUGCCAGCAGCCGCGGUAAUACGGAGGAUGCGAGCGUUAUCCGGAUUUAUGGGGUUGAAAGGGUGCGUAGGCGGACUGUUAAGUCAGCGGUAAAAGCCCGGGGCUCCACCCCGGCGAGCCGUUGAAACUGGCUGUCUUGAGAUGUCGAGAGGUAUGCGGAAUGCGCAGUGUAGCGGUGAAAUGCUUAGAUAUUGCGCAGAACUCCGAUUGCGACGGCAGCAUACCGGCGGCGAUCUGACGCUGAGGCACGAACGCGUGGGUAUCGAACAGGAUUCGAUACCCUGUAGUC